CCUACGGGAGGCAGCAGUGAGGAAUAUUGGUCAAUGGGCGCGAGCCUGAACCAGCCAAGUAGCGGGAAGGAUGACUGCCCUACGGGUUGUAAACUUCUUUUAUAAAGGAAUAAAGUGAGGCACGUGUGCCUUUUUGUAUGUACUUUAUGAAUAAGGAACGGCUAACUCCGUGCCAGAAGCCGCGGUAAUACGGAGGAUCCGAGGGUUAUCCGGAUUUAUUGGGUUUAAAGGGAGAGUAGAUGGGUUGUUAAGUUAGUUGUGAAAGUUUGCGGCUCAACCGUAAGAUUGCAAUUGAUACUGGCAGCCUUGAGUACAGUUGAGGUAGGCGGAAUUCGUGGUGUAGCGGUGAAAUGCUUAGAUAUCACGAAGAACUCCGAUUGCGAAGGCAGCUUACUAAACUGCCACUGACAUUGAUGCUCGAAAGUGUGGGUAUCAAACAGGAUUAGAUACCCCGGUAGUC
rnacentral:rRNA from 1 species